AGAGUUUGAUCCUGGCUCAGAGCGAACGCUGGCGGCGUGCUUAACACAUGCAAGUCGAACGCGCAGCAGUUUGUAGCAAUACAGAUUGUGGGCGCGUGGCGAACGGGUGCGUAACACGUGGAUAACCUUCCUUCAGGUGGGGAAUAACCCAGUGAAAAUUGGGCUAAUACCGCAUAACAUGACGAUGGCUCAUGCUGUUGUCUUCAAAGGCGCAAGUCGCCAGAAGAGGGAUCCGCGGCCGAUUAGCUAGUUGGCGAGGUAAUGGCUCACCAAGGCUUUGAUCGGUAGCCGGACUGAGAGGUUGGCCGGCCACACUGGAACUGAGACACGGUCCAGACUCCUACGGGAGGCAGCAGUGGGGAAUCUUGCACAAUGGACGAAAGUCUGAUGCAGCAACGCCGCGUGGGGGAGGAAGCUUUUCGGAGUGUAAACCCCUUUC
rnacentral:rRNA from 1 species